UUUUUUGAGAGUUUGAUCCUGGCUCAGGAUGAACGCUGGCGGUAUGCCUUAAGCAUGCAAGUCGAACGAUCUUGUCCUUUGGACAAGAAUUUUCAAAUUAUCCAAUAAUCCAAUAAAUACCAAUUAUCCAAUAAGAGCAAAAUUCUUAUUUGAUUAUUUGAGAAUUGGAUUAUUUGUUGAUUGGAAAUUCUCGCCCAGAGGGCGAGGUAGUGGCAGACGGGUGAGUAAUAGUAAGGAACGUACCCCAAGGUCAAGUAUAGCCUUCCGAAAGGAGGGGUAAUACUGGAUAGUUCCCGAUUUAAUCGGGUAAAGCACGUAACUGUGCGCCAUGGGAGCGGCCUUAUUCCUAUCAGCUUGUUGGUAGGGUAAAAGCCUACCAAGGCGAUGACGGGUAGGGGGCGUGAGAGCGUGACCCCCCACAAUGGCACUGAGACACGGGCCAUACACCUACGGGUGGCAGCAACUGGGAAUAGUUGUCAAUGGACGAAAGUCUGAACACGCGAUACCGCGUGAGGGAUGAAGUAUCUCGGUAUGUAAACCUCUUUUGCCAGAUCAUCGAGAUUUGGCGAAUAAGCACCUACAAACUACGUGCCAGCAGUCGCGGUAAUACGUAGGGUGCAAGCGUUAUCCGGAUUUACUGGGCGUAAAGUGUCGCGUAGGCGACUUCUUGUGUCACAUCUUAAAGAGUAAGGCUUAACCUUGCCGUUGGAUGUGAGACUAAGAAGAUUUGAAGAAGAGAGGAGUACCUGGAACUGACGGUGGAGUAGUGAAAUGCGUUGAUAUCGUCAGGAACACCAAAAGCGAAGGCAAGGUACCGGCUCUUUCUUGACGCUGAGGCACGAAAGCUAGGGGAGCGAAGCAGAUUAGAGACCUGCGUAGUCCUAGCCCUAAACGCAUGGAUGCUAGAUACCCCGUCGCAAAACCUAUGGGUUUUGCGACGAAAUCAAAAAUCAAAAUGUCCUGCAGAGCAGGAUCUGGCUUUGCCAGACAAAAUUCAAAAAUAUACAAGGUAUCCCUUCGGGACUAUUUAUAAAUUUGUCCUUGUUAAAUUUUGAUCUUUGACUUUUGAAUUUUAGAUUUCGCAAAAACGUAGUUUUUGCGAUGGGGUGUCGCAAGCUAACGCGUUAAGCAUCCCGCCUGGGGAGUACGAACGCAAGUUUAAAACUCAAAGGAAUUGACGGGGACCCGCACAACCAGUGGAGCAUGUGGUUCAAUUCGAGACGAAGCGAAAGACCUCACCAGGGUUCGACAUGUAACUGCAUGUCUAAGAAAUUAGGCAGCCUUCGAGGGUGUUACAAAGCUGCUGCAUGGCUGUCGUCAGCUCGUGCCGUGGGGUGUUGGCUUAAGUGCCAGAACGAGCGCAACCCCCAUCCAAUGUUAAAUUAUCAUUGGAGACCGCCCGCUUCUUUUUGAACUCACGAGUUCAAAAAGAGUUGCUUAGUUAUUAGUUAAUUAGUUACUUAGUAAUUUUCUAAGUAACUAAGCAUCUAAUCAACUAUGUAACUCAAAUUCGUAGAGUUUGAAAAGAAGCGGGAGGAAGGAGGGGACGACGUCAAGUCAGCACGGCGCUUAUGCCCUGGGCAACACACAUCCUACAAUGGCGAAAAACAACGAGAUGCAAGCUCGCGAGUGCAAGCCAAUCUCUGAAAUUUCGCCUCAGUUCAGAUUGCAGUCUGCAACUCGACUGCAUGAAGCCGGAAUUGGUAGUAAUCGCAGAUCAGCAUGGCUGCGGUGAAUACGUUCUCGGGUCUUGUACACACCGCCCGUCAAGUCAACAAAGUUGGAAGUAGCUGAAACUUGGGUUUCCCAAACUAAGCUAAGCCCAGCGAUGGGGACUAAGUCGUUGGCCUAUAAUAAUAGGAGUUGCGACCUUU
rfam:Microgenomates (Gottesmanbacteria) bacterium GW2011_GWB1_43_11 TV61_C0003, whole genome shotgun sequence.